rnacentral:misc_RNA from 1 species
UACGUAGGUGGCAAGCGUUGUCCGGAAUUAUUGGGCGUAAAGCGCGCGCAGGCGGUUCCUUAAGUCCGAUGUGAAAGCCCACGGCUCAACCGUGGAGGGUCAUUGGAAACUGGGGAACUUGAGGACGGUAGGGGUCGGUGGAAUUCCAGGUGUACCGGUGAAAUGGGCAGAUAUCUGGAGGAACACCAGUGGCGAAGGCGGCCGACUGGGCCGAUCCUGACGCUCAGGUGCGAAAGCGUGGGGAGCAAACAGG